UACGUAGGGUGCGAGCGUUGUCCGGAAUUAUUGGGCGUAAAGAGCUCGUAGGCGGUGUGUCACGUCGGCCGUGAAAACUUGGGGCUUAACCCUGAGCUUGCGGUCGAUACGGGCAUCACUUGAGUUCGGCAGGGGAGACUGGAAUUCCUGGUGUAGCGGUGAAAUGCGCAGAUAUCAGGAGGAACACCGGUGGCGAAGGCGGGUCUCUGGGCCGAUACUGACGCUGAGGAGCGAAAGCGUGGGGAGCGAA
rnacentral:rRNA from 1 species